rnacentral:rRNA from 1 species
CCUACGGGUGGCAGCAGUAGGGAAUAUUGCUCAAUGGGGGAAACCCUGAAGCAGCAACGCCGCGUGGAGGAUGAAGGUUUUCGGAUUGUAAACUCCUUUUGUUAGAGAAGAUAAUGACGGUAUCUAACGAAUAAGCACCGGCUAACUACGUGCCAGCAGCCGCGGUCAUACGGAGGGUGCAAGCGUUACUCGGAAUCACUGGGCGUAAAGAGCGCGUAGGCGGGAUAGAAAGUCAGAUGUGAAAUCCUAUGGCUUAACCAUAGAACUGCAUUUGAAACUGUUAUUAUAGAGUAUGGGAGAGGUAGGUGGAAUUCUUGGUGUAGGGGUAAAAUCCGUAGAGAUCAAGAGGAAUACUCAUUGCGAAGGCGACCUGCUAGAACAUAACUGACGCUGAUGCGCGAAAGCGUGGGUAGCAAACAGGAUUAGAUACCCUAGUAGUC